UCAGACAGUGCUGGUCGACGUGACUUGGUCUGGUGUAUACGAGAUCACUUAAAAGUUACAAUCGAUUCUUCAGAAGCGGAGUCGGAUGGAAGCGGUCUGAUCUUUUUUUAAACACUUUGGCAGUACCUACACAACCCUGGCUAAAGUAAAUCUGAUGUGUGGACUGGACUCUUUGGUUUGAUUGAGACAUCAGAGACGCCUUAUGGCAUUUUCUGCCAAGUCCGACGAGAAGGUACCGAAUGCCAAGACAACUGUGCCAAGGCUUUUGGAUGCAGAGUGGCAAAGACGGAGCAAAAACUGCAGUGUGUCAAGAGCAACGGCAUGGACAACAGAUCGAACUAACUCCUCCAUACGAAUCCUAUAAGCUUUGGUUUUAUGAUGCGCUUUUGUCUCAUAUCACGAAGAGUGGGGACCAAAUCAGGCAGAAUGCCACGCGGACCGCCAGGAGCACACCAGACCGCAUGCUCGCUGUUUACUGCAUACGUGCAUUCAUUCAGCAGACACACGCGCAUGAAGGAUGUGAACUUCAAUGGACACCAAUGAAAAGAAUGACUGAAACCGGUUCGCACAUAGAGAGAGCCAUUGCGAAGGCGACACGCACACACACAAACAGAUGUGGCAAGGCAACCUACCCACCCUAAACGCUUUAAAACACUAUGAGACACCUGACAGCUGUUCCUGGCCUGGGGAAAAAAUGAGAGGGAAGAUCGCAGCUCCGAGCGCACAGCUGGAUACGGAAACAGGUCCCUCUUCCCAGCGUAUGCGGCAUGCACAUGUGUGCAUGCUGUCUCAGCAUGUACAAAAUGACAGGUGACCAAGAUGAAAAUUAACUAAAGGGACGAAAGAGGAAAAUCCUCCCAUGACUUUAUUUUAGAGAUGGACAUGAAAGCAGGCUCAGGAGAUCACAACAGUGAAAGAAAAGAACCAAAAAGCUGGUUGCUAAAAAAUAAAAUGCAAAAAAACAAAUAAACAUUUGGAACGUUCUCAUGAAAAUAUAUAGAGUGAAAAUGUGUAAAGAAUAAGAAACAACAAAAAUGUUAAAAUAAUGUUAGAACUACGUAUGUAUUGACGCAGCGUAAGCCCACCACAAGCUGAACACGUUGUGCCAAAGAGGUGUCGUUCAUCAUUAGACGAAGCCCAUGAAGAGCUCCACGCAGUCAAUGAUUGUAGAGAGAAGGGCGACUGUGAUGCGCCUCCAUUAAGCUUUCAUGUCUCCGAUCAGAGGUGCGCUAGUGCCAGGCCCAUUGUGCCCAUCUGCGGCAGAGACAGACAGGCAGGCCGUUCGGGGCCCUCUCCUGCGGUGUGACUAACUCAUGAAGACAGUGCCAGGGAUGAAGAGGGCCCCGGCCCUGCCAAGGGACCAACCGCAGCCUGCUUCCACUCAAGGCCGCUUUUGUUGUGGCUCCGCUAUCUUCCCACAACAUGCGCUUCAAUCAAACCCACCCUGGCAAUAUCCCACAAAAAAUGCGAAAUCCGCUUUUCACAGUCAUAUGUUAAACGUCUUCAUUUGCCAUGUGGAUGUGUCUAGCUUUAUUAAGUGGGGGGUAUGUGCUGCAUGCUGAUAAUGUACUAAUAGGGUAAGAGUGGGAAAGGGAAGAGAAAGGAUAGAAGAUAGAUUUUUGGUGUUCUUAUAGUCAGAAGAAAUACAUAAAUGCCCGGCUUCACACACAGCGCUUAAGACUAGUGUCUAAAAUGAAAGUUUGAGCUGUCCUUGCUGAAAAUAAAUUUGCCCUGACAUAUCUUAAAAUAUGUUGAGGCCUUUUUUAUCUCGAGAUGCACUCCAGUAAUGUUUUUAUUCGAAGAGUCAUAUCCUGGUUUAGGCUAAGCCUUGUCUGUGAAACCGGGCCAAAGUUUUUAUAUAAAGCCUGUUUACCACUACAUAACUUUUCAGUCUCCAGUAAGCACAAGAUUAUUAAUUGUGUCAUAAAUUUACAUAAGUGACCAUUUAAAAUAAUAAUAAUAAUUUAGAAAAUUAAGGUUUGGUUUCAAUGAAGAGUGUUUUGUGAUACUUGUUUUUAUGAAACAUUCAAUUGUUCAUUUGUUGUUAGAAUAAUAUUUUGUCUUUUUUGAGACAUGAAUACAGCUGAAGAAACACAUUUGAGAGCAUGUCAAAAUAAUAAUAAUAAGUUUUUUCAGAAUUUACUAUUUAUUUAUGUAUUUUUCUCAAUCUGUGAACUACUUACAACAUUUCUCCCAAAUUAAAAAAAAAAUGUUUCUAUUUGCAUUUAUUUGCAGAAAAUGAAAACUAGUCAAAGUAACAGAAAAGAUGUUCUGAUUUUUUUCAGAUCUCAAAAACUGCAAAGAAAACAAGUUAAUUUUUAAGCAAUACAACAAGAAUAUUUGUCAUUUGGGAAAGUUGUGUCAUGCUGUCAGCCUUUCACAUUUGCUGUAGGACGACUUUGUCACUCCAGAGGUUUGAUUUCGUUUCAAUUCAACAUACAAUGGACUGGAAUGGUCACAAUACAUCUAGAAAUGCUGUUUAAAUGAAAUAAUAAUGCUGAUUAUUUUGUAAUAUAGUUUCAUUACUAAGUGAAAAAAAUAUGAUCUUUAAACAAAAUGCUUACUUUGAUCAUCCUAAGCAAUCUUUAUUUUA